rnacentral:lncRNA from 1 species
CAUUGGAGGUGGCUCACUCUCCUUAUCCUGCCCCUUUGUCUUGUAUCCAGUAAAUAUCAGUGCAGCCUGGCAUUCGGGGCCACUACUGGUCUCCGUGACUUGGUGGUAGUGGUCCCCUGGGCCUAGCUGCCUUUUCUUUUAUCUCUUUGUCUUGUGUCUUUAUUUCUACACUCUCUCAUCUCCGCACACGGGGAGAGACCCACCGACCCUGUGGGGCUGGUGCCUACACUAGUCAUCCUGUUGUGGAAUAGAACAGGAGAAUUUAUUCCUCUCAGGUCUCUCCAUGUGGCUGCAGAUAACGUGAUUUUGCGAAUUUCUAUGGCUGAAGAAGAUUCCAUUGUGCACUGCAGUUUCUUAUCCUUUCAUCUGUGUAUGGACAAGUGUAACCGUGUGGCUCCCAUGAUGGGAUUUCAUUGUGUUCUUCUGGCUGAAGAGUAUUCCAGUGUCUGCAUGUGGGACAGCUUCUCUCUCCCUUCAUCUGCAGAUGGACAGGUUUCUGCACGUUGAUGCAGAUGACAUGAUUUCAUGAAUUUCUAUGGCUGAAGAGAAUUCCAUUGUGUACUGUGGUUUCUGUGUUGCUUCAUCUGUGGAU